rnacentral:siRNA from 1 species
UAGAAUUGAAAAGGGUUAGUG